rnacentral:rRNA from 1 species
UCGAGAAUUUUUCACAAUGGGGGAAACCCUGAUGGAGCGACGCCGCGUGGGGGAUGAAGGGCUUCGGCUCGUAAACCCCUGUCAUUUGCGAACAAAGUCCAUUGGUUAAGAGCUGAUGGAUUGAUAGUAGUGAAAGAGGAAGGGACGGCUAACUCUGUGCCAGCAGCCGCGGUAAUACAGAGGUCCCAAGCGUUGUUCGGAUUUACUGGGCGUAAAGGGUGCGUAGGCGGUGUCGAAAGUCUGAUGUGAAAGCUCGGAGCCUAACUCCGAAAUGGCAUUGGAAACUGCGACGCUGGAGGCUUGGAGGGGGGACUGGAAUACUUGGUGUAGCAGUGAAAUGCGUAGAUAUCAAGUGGAACACCUGUGGCGAAGGCGAGUCCCUGGACAAGACCUGACGCUGAGGCACGAAAGCUAGGGGAGCAAACAGG